UUAAGCGACUAAGCGUACACGGUGGAUGCCCUGGCAGUCAGAGGCGAUGAAGGACGUGCUAAUCUGCGAUAAGCGUCGGUGAGGUGAUAUGAACCGUUAUAACCGGCGAUUUCCGAAUGGGGAAACCCAGUGUGUUUCGACACACUAUCAUUAACUGAAUCCAUAGGUUAAUGAGGCGAACCGGGGGAACUGAAACAUCUAAGUACCCCGAGGAAAAGAAAUCAACCGAGAUUCCCCCAGUAGCGGCGAGCGAACGGGGAGGAGCCCAGAGCCUGAAUCAGUGUGUGUGUUAGUGGAAGCGUCUGGAAAGGCGUGCGAUACAGGGUGACAGCCCCGUACACAAAAAUGCACAUAUUGUGAGCUCGAUGAGUAGGGCGGGACACGUGGUAUCCUGUCUGAAUAUGGGGGGACCAUCCUCCAAGGCUAAAUACUCCUGACUGACCGAUAGUGAACCAGUACCGUGAGGGAAAGGCGAAAAGAACCCCGGCGAGGGGAGUGAAAAAGAACCUGAAACCGUGUACGUACAAGCAGUGGGAGCCUCUUAAUGGGGUGACUGCGUACCUUUUGUAUAAUGGGUCAGCGACUUAUAUUCUGUAGCAAGGUUAACCGAAUAGGGGAGCCGAAGGGAAACCGAGUCUUAACUGGGCGUUAAGUUGCAGGGUAUAGACCCGAAACCCGGUGAUCUAGCCAUGGGCAGGUUGAAGGUUGGGUAACACUAACUGGAGGACCGAACCGACUAAUGUUGAAAAAUUAGCGGAUGACUUGUGGCUGGGGGUGAAAGGCCAAUCAAACCGGGAGAUAGCUGGUUCUCCCCGAAAGCUAUUUAGGUAGCGCCUCGUGAAUUCAUCUCCGGGGGUAGAGCACUGUUUCGGCAAGGGGGUCAUCCCGACUUACCAACCCGAUGCAAACUGCGAAUACCGGAGAAUGUUAUCACGGGAGACACACGGCGGGUGCUAACGUCCGUCGUGAAGAGGGAAACAACCCAGACCGCCAGCUAAGGUCCCAAAGUCAUGGUUAAGUGGGAAACGAUGUGGGAAGGCCCAGACAGCCAGGAUGUUGGCUUAGAAGCAGCCAUCAUUUAAAGAAAGCGUAAUAGCUCACUGGUCGAGUCGGCCUGCGCGGAAGAUGUAACGGGGCUAAACCAUGCACCGAAGCUGCGGCAGCGACGCUUAUGCGUUGUUGGGUAGGGGAGCGUUCUGUAAGCCUGUGAAGGUGUGCUGUGAGGCAUGCUGGAGGUAUCAGAAGUGCGAAUGCUGACAUAAGUAACGAUAAAGCGGGUGAAAAGCCCGCUCGCCGGAAGACCAAGGGUUCCUGUCCAACGUUAAUCGGGGCAGGGUGAGUCGACCCCUAAGGCGAGGCCGAAAGGCGUAGUCGAUGGGAAACAGGUUAAUAUUCCUGUACUUGGUGUUACUGCGAAGGGGGGACGGAGAAGGCUAUGUUGGCCGGGCGACGGUUGUCCCGGUUUAAGCGUGUAGGCUGGUUUUCCAGGCAAAUCCGGAAAACCAAGGCUGAGGCGUGAUGACGAGGCACUACGGUGCUGAAGCGACAAAUGCCCUGCUUCCAGGAAAAGCCUCUAAGCAUCAGGUAACAUCAAAUCGUACCCCAAACCGACACAGGUGGUCAGGUAGAGAAUACCAAGGCGCUUGAGAGAACUCGGGUGAAGGAACUAGGCAAAAUGGUGCCGUAACUUCGGGAGAAGGCACGCUGAUAUGUAGGUGAAGCGACUUGCUCGUGGAGCUGAAAUCAGUCGAAGAUACCAGCUGGCUGCAACUGUUUAUUAAAAACACAGCACUGUGCAAACACGAAAGUGGACGUAUACGGUGUGACGCCUGCCCGGUGCCGGAAGGUUAAUUGAUGGGGUUAGCGGUAACGCGAAGCUCUUGAUCGAAGCCCCGGUAAACGGCGGCCGUAACUAUAACGGUCCUAAGGUAGCGAAAUUCCUUGUCGGGUAAGUUCCGACCUGCACGAAUGGCGUAAUGAUGGCCAGGCUGUCUCCACCCGAGACUCAGUGAAAUUGAACUCGCUGUGAAGAUGCAGUGUACCCGCGGCAAGACGGAAAGACCCCGUGAACCUUUACUAUAGCUUGACACUGAACAUUGAGCCUUGAUGUGUAGGAUAGGUGGGAGGCUUUGAAGUGUGGACGCCAGUCUGCAUGGAGCCGACCUUGAAAUACCACCCUUUAAUGUUUGAUGUUCUAACGUGGGCCCCUAAUCGGGGUUGCGGACAGUGUCUGGUGGGUAGUUUGACUGGGGCGGUCUCCUCCUAAAGAGUAACGGAGGAGCACGAAGGUUGGCUAAUCCUGGUCGGACAUCAGGAGGUUAGUGCAAUGGCAUAAGCCAGCUUGACUGCGAGCGUGACGGCGCGAGCAGGUGCGAAAGCAGGUCAUAGUGAUCCGGUGGUUCUGAAUGGAAGGGCCAUCGCUCAACGGAUAAAAGGUACUCCGGGGAUAACAGGCUGAUACCGCCCAAGAGUUCAUAUCGACGGCGGUGUUUGGCACCUCGAUGUCGGCUCAUCACAUCCUGGGGCUGAAGUAGGUCCCAAGGGUAUGGCUGUUCGCCAUUUAAAGUGGUACGCGAGCUGGGUUUAGAACGUCGUGAGACAGUUCGGUCCCUAUCUGCCGUGGGCGCUGGAGAACUGAGGGGGGCUGCUCCUAGUACGAGAGGACCGGAGUGGACGCAUCACUGGUGUUCGGGUUGUCAUGCCAAUGGCACUGCCCGGUAGCUAAAUGCGGAAGAGAUAAGUGCUGAAAGCAUCUAAGCACGAAACUUGCCCCGAGAUGAGUUCUCCCUGAGACUUAGAGUCUCCUGAAGGAACGUUGAAGACGACGACGUUGAUAGGCCGGGUGUGUAAGCGCAGCGAUGCGUUGAGCUAACCGGUACUAAUGAACCGUGAGGCUUAACCUU
rnacentral:rRNA from 2 species